GGGAGACAAAGGGACCGAGGCCACCGACUAACAAUGGCUGUGCCAGAGACAAGCUGCAGCGCGGUGGCUCAGGAUGCAACCUGUGCAGGCAGUGGCAGCAUUGCCGGGCCCUGCUCUGCCCUUUCAUAGCUCAGCGCAUGCACUAAGAGGGAUCCGUUUUAUGGAGGAGAACACGGAGCUAAGAGAAACUCAGCCAACGUCCUCUGGCUUCCAAGGGGUGAUGUAAGGGUGAAACUUGGUAGAUCAAGCUCUUGAGACGCUGGUCUAGGGUCUCUUCCCUGCGGGACCUUCUCAACACUCCCUGCCGACCUCAAGACAUCUUAAGAUCCAGUGUGGAAAGGAUCCUAUACCGUGAUUCUUUCUACUCCCACAGCAGUAAAAGUCCCAGAAUUUGACUCCUGGAUUCACUACUCUUGAGUCAAGCCCUGCACGAGUGCACCCACACAAACAGAAAAAAAAGACAAAAGUCCUAAGUAUUCCAGUCAACCUCCAGAGGACCGACCUAAAACUUCCUCUACGCCAUACAGAUAAGUACUCAGAUGACACCGUCUAGUUUCAAAAAGACCGUAUUAGGGGGCUUCAUUCUUCUGACUGCUGCUUUCAUUCUCCUUUUUGCUGCAUCUGUUAUGUGUGUUGUCCUAGAUUCAGCCCCUCCUUCCUGCCAUUACUUACCUUGGGCUGGGCUGAGCCUAGGAAUAGUUUGUGUUAUUUUCACAGGCUAUAUUUUAAUUGGCCUUUGGAGAUUUUCUGACAUCUAACAUACCAUUAACAAUUACUACAUAAUGUUUUGUCAAGUUUUACUCUUUUUAAUAAUGCUUCCAAAUGGGGUUCCAGAGGGCCUCAUACCAUUCCAAAGAAACAAAAACUUAUGGGUUUACUUAGCCAAACAUAUAAUGAGUGUAUGAGACUUUAGCCUUAAAGGAGGAACUUAUGUUGAACAAACUUUUACCUUCUGUCUAGUUGGCGUCUGCACCCUCUUAAGUUAUAUAAAGAAUUAUACCACCCUCUGAUACAUUGAUAAGCCCAUAUCUUACUCCAAUAUCUAUAAUUGGAGUCCCACUACCACCCCAAAAACCUGUUCUCUCUACAGGUUAGAACUGUAACUCCAGCUGAUCACUGUGUUAUUUUCACCGGCUGCCCCAACUAAUGUUUUGAUCUUUUGACCGAUGAUGGCCUUAACUGCAGCUCUACCACUUCUAUGAUUUAUGCCAAUGCACAUGUUAAAUUACCUGCUGGAUGGUUUCUUCUCUGUGGGAGGGUUACCUACUCCUAUGUUUCAGCUUAUAGCACCGGGGGACCCUGCUCUCUCGGAAGAUUAACUUUUUUUUAACCCCAAAAGCCUCGUCAGGUUAGACAUCGCAGAGAACUUGCUCUAGAUCCCAGCUGCAACAGUGAUGUACAUUUAUUUAGUCCAGCUGAAUAUGUUUCUUUGUCUCUCUUUAUAGUACCUGCCAUGAGUAUAGCCUUAAAUGUAGAGAUUAGUCACAUUGCUUGUUCAAUGGCAAAGGCCCUAAAUGCUAUUUCACAGUCUAUACACGCCAUAGGCCAAGAGUUAGGACAAGUCAGAGAAGUAGUUCUCGAGAACCAAGCUGCCAUAGACUACCUACUCCUCAAAUAUAAUCAAGGAUGUGAACAUUUUAAAGGAUUAUGCUGCUUCAAUCUUUCCGAUAAUUCUCAUUUAAUAGAAGAUAAGGUACAACAAAUCCAUAACAUAGUUUCCAAUAUUAAACAACAGACAGGAUUCUUUGGCUUAGAUUUAUCCUUCCUUACUUCCUGGCUUCAUAGCUUAACAGGACUUAAAGAAGCCUUUCUUAUAUUUCUCUUAUUCAUUAUUGUAGGAAUUUUGUCUUGCUGCUGCCU